rnacentral:rRNA from 1 species
UACGUAGGGUGCAAGCGUUGUCCGGAAUUAUUGGGCGUAAAGAGCUCGUAGGCGGUCUGUCGCGUCUGCUGUGAAAACCCGAGGCUCAACCUCGGGCCUGCAGUGGGUACGGGCAGACUAGAGUGCGGUAGGGGAGAAUGGAAUUCCUGGUGUAGCGGUGGAAUGCGCAGAUAUCAGGAGGAACACCGGUGGCGAAGGCGGAUCUCUGGGCCUUACCUGACGCUGAGGAGCGAAAGCAUGGGGAGCAAACAGG